CAGUAGCCGCGGUAAAACGGAGGGUGCAAGCGUUAUCCGGAUUCACUGGGUUUAAAGGGUGCGUAGGCGGAUCUGUAAGUCAGUGGUGAAAUCUCCAGGCUUAACCUGGAAACUGCCGUUGAUACUAUAGGUCUUGAAUUUUGUGGAGGUUAGCGGAAUAUGUCAUGUAGCGGUGAAAUGCAUAGAUAUGACAUAGAACACCAAUUGCGAAGGCAGCUGGCUACACAACUAUUGACGCUGAGGCACGAAAGCGUGGGGAUCAAACAGGAUUAGAUACCCCCGUAGUCCCUGUCUCUUAUAC
rnacentral:rRNA from 1 species